UAGGGAAUCUUUCCACAAUGGACGAAAGUCUGAUGGAGCAACGCCGCGUGAGUGAAGAAGGGUUUCGGCUCGUAAACUCUGUUGUUAAGAAGAACAUAUCUGAGAGUAACUGUUCAGGUAUUGACGGUAUUUAACCAGAAAGCCACGGCUAACUACGUGCCAG
rnacentral:rRNA from 1 species